GAUUGCAGUGAUGACUCUAUGAAAUUCAAACUUAACAGACCGGAAUGCAGGGUUAUAGUAUCUCUGCCUCUCGAUCGACACGCUAACUUCAGCGAUU